GGAAUAUUGGACAAUGGGCGCAAGCCUGAUCCAGCCAUACCGCGUGGGUGAAGAAGGCCUUCGGGUUGUAAAGCCCUUUUGUUGGGAAAGAAAUCCAGCCGGCUAAUACCUGGUUGGGAUGACGGUACCCAAAGGAUAAGCACCGGCUAACUUCGUGCCAGCAGCCGCGGUAAUACGAAGGGUGCAAGCGUUACUCGGAAUUACUGGGCGUAAAGCGUGCGUAGGUGGUUGUUUAAGUCUGUUGUGAAAGCCCUGGGCUCAACCUGGGAACUGCAGUGGAAACUGGACAACUAGAGUGUGGUAGAGGGUAGCGGAAUUCCCGGUGUAGCAGUGAAAUGCGUAGAGAUCGGGAGGAACAUCCAUGGCGAAGGCAGCUACCUGGACCAACACUGACACUGAGGCACGAAAGCGUGGGGAGCAAACAGGAUUAGAUACCCUUG
rnacentral:rRNA from 1 species